rnacentral:rRNA from 1 species
CAGCAGCCGCGGUAAUGCGUAGGGUGCAAGCGUUAAUCGGAAUUACUGGGCGUAAAGCGUGCGCAGGCGGUUCGUUAAGACAGAUGUGAAAUCCCCGGGCUUAACCUGGGAACUGCAUUUGUGACUGGCGGGCUAGAGUAUGGCAGAGGGGGGUAGAAUUCCACGUGUAGCAGUGAAAUGCGUAGGGAUGUGGAGGAAUACCGAUGGCGAAGGCAGCCCCCUGGGCCAAUACUGACGCUCAUGCACGAAAGCGUGGGGAGCAAACAGGAUUAGAUACCCCAGUAGUCCCUGUCUCUUAUAC